rnacentral:rRNA from 1 species
CCUACGGGGGGCUGCAGUGGGGAAUAUUGGACAAUGGGGGCAACCCUGAUCCAGCCAUGCCGCGUGUGUGAAGAAGGCCCUCGGGGUGUAAAGCACUUUCAGUGAGGAAGAACGCCUGGUGGUGAAUACCCAUCAGGAAAGACAUCACUCACAGAAGAAGCACCGGCUAACUCCGUGCCAGCAGCCGCGGUAAUACGGAGGGUGCGAGCGUUAAUCGGAAUUACUGGGCGUAAAGCGCGCGUAGGUGGCUUGAUAAGCCGGUUGUGAAAGCCCCGGGCUCAACCUGGGAACGGCAUCCGGAACUGUCAAGCUAGAGUGCAGGAGAGGAAGGUAGAAUUCCCGGUGUAGCGGUGAAAUGCGUAGAGAUCGGGAGGAAUACCAGUGGCGAAGGCGGCCUUCUGGACUAACACUGACACUGAGGUGCGAAAGCGUGGGUAGCAAACAGGAUUAGAUACCCUAGUAGUC